UACGUAGGGUGCAAGCGUUGUCCGGAAUUAUUGGGCGUAAAGAGCGUGUAGGCGGCCAGACAGGUCAGCUGUGAAAACUCGAGGCUCAACCUCGAGACGUCGGUUGAAACCGUCUGGCUAGAGUCCGGAAGAGGAGAGUGGAAUUCCCGGUGUAGCGGUGAAAUGCGCAGAUAUCGGGAAGAACACCCGUGGCGAAGGCGGCUCUCUGGGGACGGUACUGACGCUGAGGACGCGAAAAGCAUGGGGAGCGAACGAG
rnacentral:rRNA from 1 species